GACGUAGGGGGCCAGCGUUGUUCGGAAUUACUGGGUGUAAAGGGUUCGUAGGCGGUGUGGCAAGUUGGGAGUGAAAUCGUCUGGGACUCAACCCAGAGGCUGCUUCCAAAACUGCUGUGCUUGAGUGUGAGAGAGGCUCGCGGAAUUGCAGGUGUAGCGGUGAAAUGCGUAGAUAUCUGCAGGAACACCCGUGGCGAAAGCGGCGAGCUGGAUCACUACUGACGCUGAGGAACGAAAGCUAGGGGAGCAAACAGG
rnacentral:rRNA from 1 species